rnacentral:rRNA from 1 species
GACGAACGCUGGCGGCGUGCCUAACACACGCAAGUCGAGCGAAUGAAGUUCCUUCGGGAACGGAUUUAGCGGCGGACGGGUGAGUAACACGUGGGCAACCUGCCUCAUAGAGGGGAAUAGCCUUCCGAAAGGGAGAUUAAUACCGCAUAAGAUUGUAGUACCGCAUGGUACAGUAAUUAAAGGAGUAAUCCGCUAUGAGAUGGGCCCGCGGCGCAUUAGCUAGUUGGUGAGGUAACGGCUCACCAAGGCGACGAUGCGUAGCCGACCUGAGAGGGUGAUCGGCCACAUUGGGACUGAGACACGGCCCAGACUCCUACGGGAGGCAGCAGUGGGGAAUAUUGCACAAUGGGGGAAACCCUGAUGCAGCAACGCCGCGUGAGUGAUGACGGCCUUCGGGUUGUAAAGCUCUGUCUUCAGGGACGAUAAUGACGGUACCUGAGGAGGAAGCCACGGCUAACUACGUGCCAGCCGCCGCGGUAAGAC